GGUGAUCAGAUACCGCCCUAGUUCUGACCGUAAACGAUGCCAACUAGCGAUCCGCCAGUCGACUCAUCGCUCUGGUGGGGAGCUUCCCGGAAACGAAAGUCUUCCGGUUCCGGGGGAAGUAUGGUUGCAAAGCUGAAACUUAAAGGAAUUGACGGAAGGGCACCACCAGGAGUGGAGCCUGCGGCUUAAUUUGACUCAACACGGGGAAACUCACCCGGCCCGGACACCGUAAGGAUUGACAGAUUGAUAGCUUUUUCAUGAUUCGGUGGAUGGUGGUGCAUGGCCGUUCUUAGUUCGUGGAGCGAUUUGUCUGGUUUAUUCCGAUAACGAGCGAGACUCUGGCCUACUAAAUAGUUGACGCAUUGCCACUGUGCGCACAACUUCUUAGAGGGAUUUUCGGUGUUUUCAACCGCACGAAAUUGAGCAAUAACAGGUCUGUGAUGCCCUUAGAUGUCCGGGGCUGCACGCGCGCUACACUGGCAAACGCAACGUGCCUGUCCUGCCCCGAAAGGAGCGGGUAAACCCCUGAAAUUUUGCCGUGAUUGGGAUCGGACAUUGCAACUAUUGUCCGUGAACGAGGAAUUCCUUGUAGGGGCGAGUCAUCAACUCGUCCCGAAUACGUCCCUGCCCUUUGU
rnacentral:rRNA from 1 species